UGGGUUUAUGGUGCAGUCUCAGAAGAUAUCCUAACUAGGACGAAGAUCCAUGCAAGAGGCUGGAAGUCUAUCUUAUGCAUGCCAGACCCACCAGGCUUUAUGGGCUCUGCACUCUCAUCUUCUCAUGUUAUGUUGACCCAAAGGAAGAGAUGGGUCACAGGCCACCUAGAAAUUUUGUUCAGGAAAAAUAGUCCCUUCUUUGCUACCCUCUAUGCUAAGUUGGAGUACAGGCAGUGCUUGGC
rnacentral:lncRNA from 1 species